AUUUAGACCCAGAAACCAACCACGCUUAAACAGCAAGAUCAUCUUCCUAACACCAAAAUAUACCACUACCUACAUUUAAUUUCAAAACCCAUAAAAAAUUCAAGAUAAAAAAAUUCUUUCCUAGAAAAGCAGUAGCAGUUUCAGGACACAAUAAAUACUUGCAGAAAGCACAGAAUUAAUUCAAAACUAAGAAGGCAAAGGAUCUGUCUUACUUGAA
rnacentral:misc_RNA from 1 species